GCGGGAUUCGUAUAGUGGUAAUACUCUGGCUUCCCAAGCCAGCGCUGCGGGUUCGAUUCCCGCAUCCCGCUCCA
rnacentral:tRNA from 1 species